UCGAGUGUGCACGGCAGCUGCAGCCCCAGUUCAUACUGGAGCCUCCGGCCAGUGUUUGAGGAGUUAUUUAUAACCACCUCUGCUAGACUCGGUCUAGGUCAGACAAGAGAGUGUUGAAGACCAAGGGAACCUGUAAGACUCGGCUGCUACUGUGGGAAAACUGGAAAGAUUGAAUGUCCUUUGGAGUUCACAGAGGUUUGGCAGUGGGAGGAGAAAAACAAAACGAAGCAUAGUGGGAGUGUUGAACAGACUUUCCCAAGAUCCCCAGGAAAAGCAAAGCUACUACAAGAACUCACUACAUCAAUGCGUGUUCAUUAUUGAGAACAUCCUAGGAGAGCGUGCAUCAUCACAGGCUGCUCUGAGGUCUGUGCCCAAUCAAGCAAAGAACAACGGGGAUAAUCACACUGUGCAGAGGGUGACCAAUUUAGAAAAAAAGGACCCUUAAGAAGGUCUUCCAACUUCCUUAAAUGACUUUCAUUAAUUUUACACCUUUUGCCAAUUAAUUGCACUUAUGAGCCUUCCUUGUCAAUUACUGCAUUCUCAUUUUCGGCAAUUGAACUAAUCUUGGCCUAUUCAUAUUUUGUUUUUUAAAUAGGUAUUUCCAAUUAUUGAUAUAGAUCUUUAUAAUUACAUUACAAAUGUUUCACCAUAUUUAUUCAUUCUUUAUAGAGACAAAAUAAAGGUUCUAUCAUCUACACUUAAAACAUGUACUUUUUUCUUUACAGCACAACUUACAAUAUAC
rnacentral:lncRNA from 1 species